UGCAUCUUUCAGCUCAGUUGGUUAGAAUGUGGUGCUGAUAAUGCCAAGGUUGCAGGUUUGAUCCCCGAAGGGACAGCUGCAU